UGGGGAAUUUUGGACAAUGGGGGCAACCCUGAUCCAGCCAUCCCGCGUGUGCGAUGAAGGCCUUCGGGUUGUAAAGCACUUUUGGCAGGGAAGAAACAGCCUGGGCUAAUAUCCCGGGCGACUGACGGUACCUGCAGAAUAAGCACCGGCUAACUACGUGCUAGCAGCCGCGGUAAUACGUAGGGUGCAAGCGUUAAUCGGAAUUACUGGGCGUAAAGCGUGCGCAGGCGGUUCGGAAAGAAAGGUGUGAAAUCCCAGGGCUUAACCUUGGAACUGCACUUUUAACUACCAGGCUAGAGUACGUCAGAGGGGGGUAGAAUUCCACGUGUAGCAGUGAAAUGCGUAGAGAUAUGGAGGAAUACCGAUGGCGAAGGCAGCCCCCUGGGAUGAUACUGGCGCUCAUGCACGAAAGCGUGGGGAGCAAACA
rnacentral:rRNA from 1 species